AUUGAACGCUGGCGGCAGGCUUAACACAUGCAAGUCGAGCGGGGGAAGGUAGCUUGCUACCGGACCUAGCGGCGGACGGGUGAGUAAUGCUUAGGAAUCUGCCUAUUAGUGGGGGACAACAUCUCGAAAGGGAUGCUAAUACCGCAUACGUCCUACGGGAGAAAGCAGGGGAUCUUCGGACCUUGCGCUAAUAGAUGAGCCUAAGUCGGAUUAGCUAGUUGGUGGGGUAAAGGCCUACCAAGGCGACGAUCUGUAGCGGGUCUGAGAGGAUGAUCCGCCACACUGGGACUGAGACACGGCCCAGACUCCUACGGGAGGCGGCAGUGGGGAAUAUUGGACAAUGGGGGGAACCCUGAUCCAGCCAUGCCGCGUGUGUGAAGAAGGCCUUAUGGUUGUAAAGCACUUUAAGCGAGGAGGAGGCUACUUUAGUUAAUACCUAGAGAUAGUGGACGUUACUCGCAGAAUAAGCACCGGCAAACUCUGUGCCAGCAGCCGCCGUAA
rnacentral:rRNA from 1 species